rnacentral:rRNA from 1 species
UUGAAAAGAACUUUGAAGAGAGAGUUCAAGAGUACGUGAAACCGUUCAGGGGUAAACCUAAGAAACCCAAAAGAUCGAACGGGGAGAUUCAUCGUCAGCGACGCUGGCUUCGCGUCGGUGGGCGAUGUCCCGCGGGGCCCUCGCGGCUCGCGGCGCGGACACGCUGCCGUGCGUCGAUGCCCGGCGUUCGUCGUCGUGCACUUCUCCCCUAGUAGAACGUCGCGACCCGCUGGGUGUCGGUCUACGGCCCGGGUGCGGUGGCUGACGCGUCGCCGGUCAAACGGCAACGCGUCAAACCCCCGGUCGCCCGGCCGGCUGCCCGGCGGUACACGCAAGGUAUCAGGCCGCAUUCUUCACACGGAACGAGUGCGUCGAGGCCGUCGCAAGCGCGCGCCACGGUACACGGAGGCUAACGGACCUGGCGCCGUCACCGGUCCUGGCCCGCUGUUGGUCGUACGGUUAACCUUCGACAGGCCUGCGAACGUCCCCCGUCGCGCGGCGGGGUUAACCCCCCGUGCGGCGCGGCGGUGGGGCCGAUACCGGUCGGCGACGCUACUGCUUUGGGUACUCUUAGGACCCGUCUUGAAACACGGACCAAGGAGUCUAACAUGUACGCGAGUCAUUGGGACUAGCGAUACCUAAAGGCGCAAUGAAAGUGAAGGUCGGCCCUGGUUGUCGACCGAGGGAGGAUGGGCCGCGUCGCGAUGCGGCCCCGCACUCCCGGGGCGUCUCGUUCUCAUCGCGAGAAGAGGCGCACCCAGAGCGUACACGUUGGGACCCGAAAGAUGGUGAACUAUGCCUGGUCAGGACGAAGUCAGGGGAAACCCUGAUGGAGGUCCGUAGCGAUUCUGACGUGCAAAUCGAUCGUCGGAACUGGGUAUAGGGGCGAAAGACUAAUCGAACCAUCUAGUAGCUGGUUCCCUCCGAAGUUUCCCUCAGGAUAGCUGGCACUCGGCCGUUCCGCACGGAACGCGCGCGAGUCUCAUCUGGUAAAGCGAAUGAUUAGAGGCCUUGGGGCCGAAACGACCUCAACCUAUUCUCAAACUUUAAAUGGGUGAGAUCUCUGGCUUUCUUGAACUAUGAAGCCACGAGCAUCUCGGAUCAGAGUGCCAAGUGGGCCAUUUUUGGUAAGCAGAACUGGCGCUGUGGGAUGAACCAAACGCAGAGUUAAGGCGCCCAACUCGACGCUCAUGGGACACCAUGAAAGGCGUUGGUUGCUUAAGACAGCAGGACGGUGGCCAUGGAAGUCGGAAUCCGCUAAGGAGUGUGUAACAACUCACCUGCCGAAGCAACUAGCCCUGAAAAUGGAUGGCGCUGAAGCGUCGAGCCUAUACUCUGCCGUCAGCGGCAAGUGGGGCGGCCGUCCGGGCGGUUAAUCCGCGCGCGACGCGCCGCCACGAAGCCCUGACGAGUAGGAGGGUCGCGGCGGUGUGCGCAGAAGGGUCU